GCCUAACACAUGCAAGUCGAGCGAUGAAAUUAGAAACGGAGUCUUCGGACGAAGUGGAAAAUGGAUUAGCGGCGGACGGGUGAGUAACACGUGAGCAACCUGCCUAUCACAUCGGGAUAGCCUCGGGAAACUGGGAUUAAUACCGAAUGAAACAUAAUCACUGCCUAGUGGAAAUGUCGAAGAUUUAUCGGUGAUAGAUGGGCUCGCGUCUGAUUAGCUAGUUGGUGAGGUAAUGGCUCACCAAGGCGACGAUCAGUAGCCGGCCUGAGAGGGUGAACGGCCACAUUGGGACUGAGACACGGUUCCGACUCCUACGGGGGGCAGCAGUGAGGAAUAUUGCACAAUGGGGGCAACCCUGAUGCAGCAACGCCGCGUGGGGGAUGAAGGCCUUUGGGUUGUAAACCCCUUUUCUCGGGGAAGAGGAAGGACGGUACUCGAGGAAUAAGUCACGGCUAACUACGUGCCAGCAGCCGCCGUAACAC
rnacentral:rRNA from 1 species